AUCAUUAUUGUAGGUUGUGGCUUGGUUAGUUGUCCUCACAUGGGAAAACACAACAGUGUAGGUUACAAGAAAUGGUACCGUGUCAAAGACUUUCAAUGAAAACCAAGUCCACAUCAUUGCGAGAAGCGAUGGGCUCCUUUUGAAAGCAACACAUGAGCAAGAAAACUUUAGGAAAGUUUUGACUUUUCUUACUAAUAAGCAAAUUACCAUGGAGAACAAAUUCUAUCAUCUGGAACUACUGCAAAGGAAAAUCGGAUCACGACAUGUAGCUAUGCGAUUAACGGUAAUUAGCCUCAAAGAAAAAACACCCGAAAGUCAACAUUGAGAAAAGAGAGUUCGUCAGCUCAGAACAAAAUAACUUCUCUAACUGGUGUAUCUGCUGUGAAAAAUGAAAAUUUAGAGAUUGCGAAGAGCUGUCUUGGUGAUUACUGAUUGGUGACUGAUGACCUGAUUAAAAUACAAUGUCUAGGUAAGACUAAAA